rnacentral:rRNA from 1 species
GACGAACGCUGGCGGCGUGCUUAACACAUGCAAGUCGAGCGGUAAGGCCCUUUCGGGGGUACACGAGCGGCGAACGGGUGAGUGACACGUGGGUGACCUGCCCUCAGCUCUGGGAUAAGCCUGGGAAACCGGGUCUAAUACCGGAUAUGACUCCAUGACGCAUGUUGUGGGGUGGAAAGCCUUGUGCGGCUGAGGAUGGGCCCGCGGCCUAUCAGCUUGUUGGG